UACGGAGGGGGCAAGCGUUGAUCGGAAUUACUGGGCGUAAAGCGCGCGCAGGCGGUUUGUUAAGUCAGAUGUGAAAUCCCCGGGCUCAACCUGGGAACUGCAUUUGAUACUGGGAAGCUUGAGUGUGGUAGAGGGGUGUAGAAUUCCAGGUGUAGCGGUGAAAUGCGUAGAUAUCCGGAGGAACACCAGUGGCGAAGGCGGCCCCCUGGACGAGUACUGACGCUGAGGCUCGAAAGCGUGGGGAGCAAACAGG
rnacentral:rRNA from 1 species